GGACGAAACGCUGGCGGGCGUGCAUAAUACAUGCAAGUUCGAACGACCUCUGAUAUUGAUUGGGUGCUUGCAUCAUGAUUUACAUUUGAGGUGAGUGGCGAACUGGUGAGUAAACACGGUGGGAAACCUGCCCAGAAGCGGGGGAUAACACCUGGAAACAGAUGCUAAUACCGCAUAACAACUUGGACCCGCAUGGUCCGGAGUUUGAAAGAUGGCUUCGGCUAUCACUUUUGGAUGGUCCCGCGGGCGUAUUAGCUAGAUGGUGGGGUAACGGCUCACCAUGGCAAUGAUACGUAGCCGACCUGAGAGGGUAAUCGGCCACAUUGGGACUGAGACACGGCCCAAACUCCUACGGGAGGCAGCAGUAGGGAAUCUUCCACAAUGGACGAAAGUCUGAUGGAGCAACGCCGCGUGAGUGAAGAAGGGUUUCGGCUCGUAAAACUCUGUUGUUAAAGAAGAACAUAUCUGAGAGUAACUGUUCAGGUAUUGACGGUAUUUAACCAGAAAGCCACGGCUAACUACGUGCCAGCAGCCGCGGUAAUACGUAGGUGGCAAGCGUUGUCCGGAUUUAUUGGGCGUAAAGCGAGCGCAGGCGGUUUUUUAAGUCUGAUGUGAAAGCCUUCGGCUCAACCGAAGAAGUGCAUCGGAAACUGGGAAACUUGAGUGCAGAAGAGGACAGUGGAACUCCAUGUGUAGCGGUGAAAUGCGUAGAUAUAUGGAAGAACACCAGUGGCGAAGGCGGCUGUCUGGUCUGUAACUGACGCUGAGGCUCGAAAGU
rnacentral:rRNA from 2 species